rnacentral:rRNA from 1 species
UGAGGAAUUUUGCGCAAUGGGCGCAAUCCUGACGCAGCAACGCCGCGUGGGUGAUGAAGGCCUUCGGGUCGUAAAGCCCUGUCAGGUGGGAAGAAUGUCCCGGGACUGAACAGGUUCCGGGAGUGACGGUACCACCAGAGGAAGCACCGGCUAACUCCGUGCCAGCCGCCGCGGUAAUACGGAGGGUGCAAGCGUUAUUCGGAAUUACUGGGCGUAAAGCGCGUGUAGGCGGUCCUGCAAGUCUGAUGUGAAAGCCCCGGGCGUAACCCGGGAAGUGCAUUGGAAACUGGGGGACUUGAGUACUGGAGAGGAUGGGGGAAUUCCCGGUGUAGAGGUGAAAUUCGUAGAGAUCGGGAGGAAUAUCAGUGGCGAAGGCGCCCAUCUGGACGGUAACUGACGCUGAGACGCGAAAGCGUGGGGAGCAAACA